CCUACGGGAGGCAGCAGUGGGGGAUAUUGCACAAUGGGGGAAACCCUGAUGCAGCGACGCCGCGUGAGUGAAGAAGUAUUUCGGUAUGUAAAGCUCUAUCAGCAGGGAAGAAAAUGACAGUACCUGACCAAGAAGCCCCGGCUAACUACGUGCCAGCAGCCGCGGUAAUACGUAGGGGGCAAGCGUUAUCCGGAUUUACUGGGUGUAAAGGGAGCGUAGACGGUUAUGUAAGUCUGGAGUGAAAUGCCGGGGCUUAAGCCCGGAACUGCUUUGGAAACUGUGCAGCUAGAGUGCAGGAGAGGUAAGUGGAAUUCCUAGGGUAGCGGUGAAAUGCGUAGAUAUUAGGAGGAACACCAGUGGCGAAGGCGGCUUACUGGACUGUAACUGACGUUGAGGCUCGAAAGCGUGGGGAGCAAACAGGAUUAGAUACCCGAGUAGUC
rnacentral:rRNA from 1 species